CCUACGGGUGGCUGCAGUGAGGAAUAUUGGUCAAUGGUCGGAAGACUGAACCAGCCAAGUAGCGUGAAGGAUGAAGGUUCUAUGGAUUGUAAACUUCUUUUAUACAGGAAUAAAGGCCACUACGUGUAGUGUUUUGUAUGUACUGUAUGAAUAAGCAUCGGCUAACUCCGUGCCAGCAGCCGCGGUAAUACGGAGGAUGCGAGCGUUAUCCGGAUUUAUUGGGUUUAAAGGGAGCGUAGACGGGAGAUUAAGUCAGUUGUGAAAGUUUGAGGCUCAACCUUAAAAUUGCAGUUGAUACUGGUUUCCUUGAGUGCGGUUGAGGUAUGUGGAAUUCGUGGUGUAGCGGUGAAAUGCUUAGAUAUCACGAAGAACUCCGAUUGCGAAGGCAGCAUACUAAGCCGCUACUGACGUUGAUGCUCGAAAGUGUGGGUAUCAAACAG
rnacentral:rRNA from 1 species